AUUCAAAAGUCAAAGCUAUUGAUAAGAUUUCCAUAAAAGAGACACACAAAGAGUCAGACAGAAAAGGAAGGAUUGUUUAGAAAUUCCUCAAAGAAGUGUCGGAAACUAGCGGGAGAUUACCGUAAUACGAGAAAAAAGAGAAUGGAAGGGAGGCGUCCAAAAUCUGACUCAGACAACGAAUCUGAAUGUAAGCUGAUAUUACUAAUAUAGCAAGGAAGGGUUUUAUAUUAGGAUGAUUUUCUGGGAAUUCCCGGUGUCGAAGUUUUGGGACUACGGACAAUUAUAAUAAUAAUGUUGAGAAAAAUGGAUAAGAUGUUUCCUGGGAUUAUAAUCUGGGGGAGAAUGAGGCCAUAAACGACCAAUUAAAACAGGUCUGCAAGUAUAUACACAUAAAACCAUUGUUAGGACUAUUUGUUUUAGUGCAAAGGUAUUUUAAAGAGGCACGCUCACAUAUGGAACUUUAUGAGUUUUAAUUAUACAAGUGAAUUUUUUUCAUUUUUAUGACCUAUUGAUCUUAUCGUGACUGUCUUCUGAGGUCUGAUCAGCCUCAGGGGAGAGUCAUUUGUAUAAUGAAUGUGGUCAUAUUGAGUUACUAGGUUUAAGGUAAAUUCAUUAUAAUGGAGUUUGGUUGGGGGGUUAGAAUUAUUGUUUGAACCGCAAAUGAGAACGUGGUUCAGGAUUCUGUUUUACAACAUUAGCUGUGAAGUUUUUGAAUGGGCUAUUAAUGAUUUGGUAUUGUAACAGAGAAAAAGUCAUAUUUAUCAUUGAGAAUAAAUAGGGGAAGAUAAAAUAGAUUAUUAAGCCAAUAGGGCAGGGAAAGUUGCAGUUUUUUAGGGGUGAUAAAUUACUAUAGAUAAGGUAUUCCACACUUUGCAACACAUAUUAAAUCCAUGUUAUUGUCAGUUAGAAUACUGAGGGUCCCCGAAGGAGAGGGCUUGUUAGUGUAGGAAGGAUUUUUAAUAUGGUUAGCAUUUAUUAGACUUUGUUUGAUUAUUAUAAGUUUUUAAAUAGUAUUACAUUUAACAGGAAUAUAGGACAUCUGUGAUGAUUUAGGAUUAUUGUUAGGAUUAAGAUAGAUUAAUUAAGGAAAUGUAAGGACUUUAGAGAAAAGCCGCUCAUAGACAUGUUUUUUCUAAAAUCAAUGAUUGUAGAUAAAGUCAAACAGUUAGAAGCUUAGUGGAAUUUGAGAGAUAUGAGAGAAAAGGGUUAUCGGGAAUAUAUAUAUAUUUAAGAAAAUAUAUAAGUAGCGCAGAUAGUUCUUAAAAGUAGAUAAGAAACUUGACAGGGAAUUGGUACAGGAUUGACAUGAAUGGAUGCCCAAGGGAGAAUUGGACAUGUGGAAAAUUAAAAGGGGCUCCUACAUGAUGAUGUCAGACAUAAGGAGAAUUUACUAAUCUUACCUAAGUCAUUGUUUAAGAAUAGGCAAGGUCGUUACUCGGGCAGAGCCAGGUAACAAAGGGGGGAUGGGUAAAUUGUGUUCUAGAAUAGGAUGUGACCUACAGGAUAAUUAACUGAUAAAAAAAAAAAAUGUAGUUAAUAAACAGAACAAAUGAGAAACUGUUUGUUAACCAAACCUGUAUGUCCAAGAUUUUAUGCACUACAGGUGAACUACAGGUGAAGUCACUCAAUCCAGUCCCAUAGGCUUGUUGGGGGGACCAUACCAAGGACUUCUGGUGACAGCUAGCUGAAAGAGCUACCCGGAUUCAUAUCGCACUGCGGGAGGGUAAGACACAAUAACACUCCGAACAAUAACAGAGUUCGAGUGGAGAACUGGAAUUAACAGAAUUCUGGGGGCCAUCUCUCGAAUGAAAAAUACCUUACCUGUCCUUUCCUCACUGUUGUUGUUCAUAGUAGUGAAGAUGUGUCUGGCUCUUGCUAAACGAUGUGUUCGAGGGGAGAGGGUGGGGCUUCACAUGGAAGCUGUUCGUCUGAGCUGUCUUAUCGUGGGUGACAUAUUCCUGAUACAGCACGUCCUACUCAAGUAUGCGGAGAGUGGUAAUUUCACCCAUGGGUUAGACGGUGAGGAUUUUGCUCCAAAAUAGAAGAGAUAUCAGUGCAGGUUCCCAUAUUGAUCGUGGACACAGGUCAUAGCUCAUUGGGAGAGAGGGCUAUAUGAAUCCACUCACCCAGUAUGGAAGAAGGUAGAGUAGAGUGGCAUAAAGAUACGCUUAACCCUUUAAAUAGAAAUGAAGGAGGAUCAAGGGUUGUGGUAUGGAGAUGACCAGGUCUUGGUCGACACCCUAGUACGGUUCUGGGUAGAGGAGUUUGGGCUGGUAUGGUAAAGCUGUUCACGAAAGCAGGAAUGCCAGAUAAUGACAGUUGUAUUGAGUUGCACUAUUUAAAUCCCCAGGUUCCUCCCUUUACAGUAUCCAGAGGAGAUUAUUACUGUUUGGCCCGGUAUAGUACUCAUGAAAAAAUGUGGGAGAAGUUAGUACUUGUAAUAGAACAGAGAAUGUUACCACUAAAAAGACCGUGUUGGAUUUGAGAGGAUGGUUAAACUCUGAAGAUUUCAGUAAAGUAAGAUGGGCCAGGGCUGACAUCUGGUGGUUGUGUGGGGGAACAAUUCUAGGAUCAGUAUUACCCACAGAUUGGGUGGGGUCAUGUGCGUUGGGGAUGCCUUUUACACUCAUUCAGACACCAGGACAUGAAGUUAUCUAAACGGGAAAAGAGAAGCACUCCAUCUGGGUCAUUUGAUGACAAGGAAGACAUUGAUAACAUUGGGGUUCCAGGGGAAGUGCCAGAGGAGUCAAAGCAAGAAAUCAGAUCCUAGCAGGAUUAGAGUUAACCAUUUCCGGGGCUCUACUCUCAUAAGAACGUGGACUGGAUUAAUUAUAUUUAUGAUAAUCAACAGCGCUUUAACAGGUAUACCAGAUAUGUUAUUAAAGGUUUUGUAGAACAGACUGAAGCAACCAGCUGGAAGGCUUGGCAGAAUAUAAUUGCAUUAGAUAUGUUAAUGGCUGAAAAGGGAGAAGUAUGCGUGAUAAUCAGGACCAUGUUUGUGCUUACAUCCCAAAUAACACAGCUCCGGACGAAUCAGUGCCCGAAGCCUCAGCUGGUUUGACCACCCUGGCUCACGGGUUGGCAGAAACUCUGGGGUGGAUACUUCUCUGACUGAUUGGGUUUUGAUAAUUCGUUUGUAAAAUGGAAAAAUGUUAUGAUCACUGUGUUAUGGGCUACAUUCACCUGUGUGACUGUGUUAGUUUUGUACGGACGUGGUUGAUUGCGUGUAUGUAUGAAAGUUAUUAUUUCCAGGACCCUGGAGUAAUCUAUGACAAUAGAUGAUGCGGUGUGGGACGAUUCCAGGUUCUGACCCGUGGAGGACUGAAUGCCUGACUACAGGACAAGUGGACAAAUCUGGAUCUUUCAUCAUUGGGGAAUUUAUGUUUGAUGAGACUAGUGUUGAGGAUAGAAUUAGAUUGUACUUUGUUUCAAUAUUAGACUGUUUUUUAAUAAAGAUUGUAACGAAAAUCCUGAAAGAAGGGUUAUGAUUCUGAUGUAGGUUUAAAAACAGUUGGAGUUAAGGUUAGUUUGAUUAAUGAUGGGUGAACAGUCGGAUAAACAUUUAUAAUAAUGUUGGUUAUGUGUCUAUUGAUAUGAUAAUCUGAUAAACCUUUAUAAUAAGGUUAGUUAUUAGUAGGUUAAUAUUUUUAUUUUUUAUGUUUAAUAAAACUAGAUGUAGAAUUGAAUGUAUAAUAUUUAAUCAAAGGGAGGAUUGUUGGAGGAAAUUAUAGUUGAAAUGAUUAAUAAUGUAUACAUUUCAAUUAGAACCAUUUAUUCUAAUACUAUUAUGUUAUGGUAUGAAAUGUAUGGGUUCUUGGUUAAGCUGUUACUGAAAAUGUAAGUAAAACAAAUUAAUUGUCUGUACCUUGCGGGAGGUUUAAGGGAGAGGGAUGAUAUAUCUUUUCUGACAGAUAAGAAUGGUCCUUGAUAUUCCAGUAGUGGAGGAGAAGAUAUCUUUUAGACAGAUUGGAAUGUUUGGUUUAUGAGGGGAGUAGAAGAAAUCUCCAGACCUGAAAACACUGCGCUAUUGUGUGGAUCGGAGAGAGUGUGAGAAACUGAUAAUGUCAUUUUAUGUUCUCUCUUUAAAAUGUAAGGUUCUUUGUAUUUUUGGUUAGUACUCUCUUAAAUUAAACGCUGUUACCUGGCUUUUAA